rnacentral:tRNA from 1 species
AGGGGUAUAGCUCAGUUGGUAGAGCAGCGGUCUCCAAAACCGCGUGUCGAGCGUUCGAGCCGUUCUGCCCCUGCCA